rnacentral:rRNA from 1 species
GACGGANACAGCCAUGCCGCGUGCAGGAAGACGGCGUUCUGCGUUGUAAACUGCUUUUAUACGGGAAGAAAAGGCCCAUGCGUGGGACAUUGCCGGUACCGUAUGAAUAAGCACCGGCUAACUCCGUGCCAGCAGCCGCGGUAAUACGGAGGGUGCGAGCGUUGUCCGGAUUUAUUGGGUUUAAAGGGUGCGUAGGCGGCCAUUUAAGUCAGCGGUGAAAGUCUGUGGCUCAACCAUGGAACUGCCGUUGAUACUGGGUGGCUUGAGUGUUGGUGGGGUACAUGGAAUUUAUGGUGUAGCGGUGAAAUGCAUAGAUACCAUAAGGAACACCGAUAGCGAAGGCAUUGUACUUACCAACAACUGACGCUGAGGCACGAAAGCGCGGGUAUCGAACAGGAUUAGAUACCCUGGUAGUCCGCGCCGUAAACGAUGAUCACUCGCUGUCAUGCCUAUAUGGUGUGGUGGCCAAGCGAAAGCGUUAAGUGAUCCACCUGGGGAGUACGCCCGCNAGGGUG